rnacentral:rRNA from 1 species
ACAAUGCGGAACAAUGUUUUGCAAUUGGAUUGAGAACAACGUACAAACCUUAUCGAUAAACAAUUGGAGGGCAAGUCUGGUGCCAGCAGCCGCGGUAAUUCCAGCUCCAAUAGCGUAUAUUAACGUUGUUGCAGUUAAAAAGCUCGUAGUUGAAAUGAAGGGUAGUUGUGUAAUGAAUACAUUCGUGUAUUUUGUUAUUCUACUACCCUCCUUCUAAAUUCGAUAUAUGAGUAUUAAUUUACUUGUAUAUGGUUUUAGACAUUUACUGUGAGAAAAUUAGAGUGUUCAAAGCAGGCAUUUGCUUGAAUAUAUUAGCAUGGAAUAAUCAUGUAUGAUUUUCAUGAUGUAUUUGAUUGGUUUGGUUCAUGAGAAUAAGAUUAAAAGGGACAGUUGGGGGUAUUCAUAUUCAAUAGUCAGAGGUGAAAUUCUCGGAUUUAUGGAAGAUGAAC